rnacentral:misc_RNA from 1 species
GCUCCGUAGGUGAACCUGCGGAGGGAUCAUUACAGAGUUCAUGCCCUACCGGGUAGAUCUCCCACCCUAUGUUAUUAUUACUUUGUUGCUUUGGCGGGCCGUUAGGCUCCGGCCCGACUACCGGCCCCGGCUGGUAAGCGCCCGCCAGAGGACCCAAAACCCUGAAUAUUAGUGUCGUCUGAGUACUAUAUAAUAGUUAAAACUUUCAACAACGGAUCUCUUGGUUCCG